rnacentral:rRNA from 1 species
AACGAACGCUGGCGGCAUGCCUAACACAUGCAAGUCGAACGAGACCUCCGGGUCUAGUGGCGCACGGGUGCGUAACGCGUGGGAACCUGCCCUUAGGUUCGGAAUAACUCCCCGAAAGGGGUGCUAAUACCGGAUAAUGUCUUCGGACCAAAGAUUUAUCGCCUUUGGAUGGGCCCGCGUUGGAUUAGCUAGUUGGUAGGGUAAAAGCCUACCAAGGCGACGAUCCAUAGCUGGUCUGAGAGGAUGAUCAGCCACACUGGGACUGGGACACGGCCCAGACUCCUACGGGAGGCAGCAGUGGGGAAUAUUGGACAAUGGGCGAAAGCCUGAACCAGCAAUGCCGCGUGAGUGAUGAAGGCCUUAGAGUUGUAAAGCUCUUUUACCCGGGAUGAUAAUGACAGUACCGGGAGAAUAAGCUCCGGCUAACUCCGUG